UUCCUCUGUUUGUAAAUAUGUUUAUAGAUUGCUAUGUUUUUAUUUAUAAAUGGGUAUAGUUCUAUUUAUAGAUUAUUGUUCUGUUUAUAUCUCCAUAUACUGAUAGAUCUGUCUAGUUAAAUGUGGAUAUGUAUACAGUAACAGAUGUGAUAUAAUUAUAUUUCCAUAUAUGUAAUUUUAUUUACUGAUUUUCAGAGUUAAAUUUAUAUUUGAAUAGAGUAAAAAAAUACAUAUAUGAAGUUAUAUUUAUGAAUGUAUAUAGUUAUAUAGUAAAAGAAUAUGAAUGUUUAGAUGUAUACAUUGAUAGAUAGAUUGCUGUUUGCAUAGACCUAGGCCGCAUUUUUACCUCUCUCCCCCCUUGGCUGCCUUUCUCACCUCUUGCUUUUCCCCCUGUGUCCCCUCUCCAUGUGAUGGGUCCGAGCUGGCGGCCGGGCUGAGCAGAGCAGCACUUCCAGCCCCGGCUGUCCCUGGAGCGGUGGGAGCUGCCGCUGGCCCCAGGCACUGUCCCCUGAGGAGCUGCUGAAGGACGCUGCAAGGAAGACCUUGAGGACAGCCGGAGACUGACUGGAGCCUGCAGGGAGGAGCUGAAGGGCAGCAGCAGGAGCAGGGAACGGGGACCUGCUGCUGCCAGCCUGGAGAGAGCCCAGAUGUCCCAUCUGCUGUCCCUGUCCAGGAGAGCUGCUCUGCAUGGGAGGAGGAGAAUGAGGGAGAGGCUUUGAAGACGGGGCCUCUGCUUCGAGUGCUGUUUAUAGAUAUCUGGACUUACACAGUAGAAUGGAUAAUUAUAUGGAUAUGUACAUGUCUAGGCUUCUAUCUGUGUAGGAAUAUUUCUCUAUACAUGUUGUUUUAUUUAUGGAUGUAUUACGUAUAUAUGUAUGCAUAUAUAUUCAUAUGUUUUUGUAAUUACAUAAAUGUUUAUAUAUGUAUCUAAGUAUACAUGUAUGUUGUUAUAUCUGUGUUUAGUUCUAUUUCCUUGGUUUACAGCUGUGUACAUAUCUUUUUAUACAGAUGCUGGUAUAGCUAUAUGGUUUUUAAAUAGGUAUAUUGGAAUUUGUAUUGGGAGAUAGGUGUAUUUUUUAAUGUAUAUUGUUCUUUUUCUGUCUAUUUAUUGAUAUUUACAUAUGUGUCCAGAUGUAUAGCUCUGGAUGGAUGGAUGGAUAUUUAGCUUGGCAGAAUGGUGUUUGUAUGUAGUUAUAGGUAGGUUUGGUUUAUAUAUCUACUGAUAUAUAUAUAUACAUAUUUACAUAUAUAUUGUAUGUAGUAUGUGAUGUUUAAUCUAUAUUUACAUCUGUAUAUUGUUAUACUUGUAUACGUAUUUAUAUAUAUGCAUAUAUGUAUGUAUUCUGUUCAAACAUAUAUGGAGGAUAUAGUUGUAUAACGCUAUUGAUAUCUUAGUGUAGGGCUAUUUAAAGAGGGAAUGCAUAUUUUUGUAUUUCUAUAUGGGCUCUACGUUUGUAGUAACAUGUAAUAAAUUAGGUUGGUAAAGGCCUAAUUGAUCUUUGUGUAUAGUGAGUUGUGUAUAGUAGAGAUUAGCAAUAAAUCAAGUUUUGUUAACUGAAGCAGUAUUUGUAUAUUUUUGCCUAGACAGGUUGUAAUAAUCUAAUAAAUUCCUGGUUUUACCCUUAA